AUCUACACAAAGUGCUUAAUUUCUUUUUAAUGCAUCAAAUUUUAUUAUUUCUGACAUCUUACUGUGUUCACAUGGCUGUAAGAAAAGGACAGAGCAGGCCGGGCAUGGUGGCUCACGCCUAUAAUCCCAGCACUUUGGGAGGCCGAGGCGGGCAGAUCACGAGGUCAGGAGAUCGAGACCAUCCUGGCUAACACAGUGAAACCCCAUCUCUAUUGAAAAAGUACAAAAAAAAUUAGCCGGGCGUGGUGGCAGGCGCCUGUAGUCCCAGCUACGUGGGAGGCUGAAGCAGGAGAAUGGCAUGAACCCAGGAGGCGGAGCUUGCAGUGAGCAGAGAUGUGCCACUGCACUCCAGCCUGGGCAACAGAGCGAGACUCCAUCUGAAAAAAAAAAAAGAAAGAAAAGGACAGAGUAGUUUCUAUCCCAAAAAAAUCCCAUCAUGUCAUAUGGGGACAAUUAGAAUGUAAUUAUGUCCCAUACUUAUGCUUCUGUGAAUUUUUAUGCCCAGCUCAAGGCCUCAGACUGCCUUCUGUCCAGAGAUGAUGAUGGUGAUCACAGCAUGGUACCACAACCUACACGCUGCCUGCAGCUGGGGCCUCCCACCAGACUGGUUGGGUUUUCAACCCAGCUCUGUGACCAUGGAUGUGUAUAUGGCCUUGGGCAGUCACCUGCCCUCUUGGUGCCUCAAUUGUCUAAUCCAUAGAAUGGAGAUAAUGUCAGUUCCUACUUUGUGGGGCAGUUAUGAGGCUGUAAAGCACUGGUCAGUACCUGGCACACAGGCUACAUACAUGUUGCCUGUAUUAUUUAUGCAGUUGUUUUAUUUUUGUGUCUGGGGUACCUUCUCGCUACCCCAACCCACUUCUGGUGGAUUAUGCAAACUAUUUCUUUUCUUUGAGCUGGUGCUGCUGCUGCUUUUCUCUGGUGUCUGGGAAUGGGGCUGAGCUGCCUUACGGAGGCAGUGCAGGGGAGCAUCCCGAGGGCCUCUGUGCCAUAGGAAUGGUUUCUUUUGAUCUCUCCCCACAGGGUGUGGCCACUGUAAGAAAAUGAAGCCAGAGUUUGAGAAGGCAGCAGAAGCCCUCCAUGGAGACGCGGAUAGCUCUGGUGUCCUUGCAGCUGUCGAUGCCACUGUCAACAAGGCCCUGGCAGAAAGAUUCCACAUCUCAGAGUUUCCUACAUUGAAGUAUUUUAAGAAUGGAGAGAAAUACGCAGUGCCCGUGCUCAGGACAAAGAAGAAGUUUCUCGAGUGGAUGCAAAACCCUGAGGCCCCCCCACCCCCAGAGCCCACGUGGGAAGAGCAGCAGACAAGCGUGUUGCACCUGGUGGGGGACAACUUCCGGGAGACCCUGAAGAAGAAGAAACACACCUUGGUCAUAUUCUACGCCCCUUGGUGCCCACACUGUAAGAAGGUCAUUCCGCACUUUACUGCUGCUGCUGAUGCCUUCAAAGAUGACCGAAAGAUCGCCUGUGCCGCUGUUGACUGUGUCAAAGACAAGAACCAAGACCUGUGCCAGCAGGAGGCUGUCAAGGGCUACCCCACUUUCCACUACUACCACUACGGGAAGUUCGCAGAAAAGUAUGACAGCGACCGCACAGUAAGUGGGGGAGAGGUGUCUGCCCAGAGCUCUCUCUGCUGAUGGGCAGGGAAACUUCCACUGAGGAGGGGCAGCACUGGGCAGCAUCCCAGAAACCGCGGAAGUCAGCUGGAACACUGCACCGAGAGGCCCAGGCCCUGGGCCUGGCUGAGGCUUGACAUUGUUGGAGGAGAGUCCCAAGGGGUUUUCACAGAUGUCCUGUCCCCAGAGGCAGGCUGGACUCCAGAUGCCGAGGGUUUUCUCACUUGCUGGUCAGGGCUGGUGCAAGCCACACAGACCCUCUCCACCUUGCAGAAGUCUGCCCACCUCUCCCUGUCAUAGGAGUGACCCCCUAGAGGGGCUGGGGAUGUGGGGAGAGAGAGUGCACAGCCAGCUCAGGGAUUAAAGCUCUUUCUCUCUCUCUCUCUCCCCCUUCCCUGCAGGAAUUGGGAUUUACCAAUUAUAUUCGAGCCCUCCGGGAGGGAGACCAUGAAAGACUAGGGAAAAAGAAGGAAGAGUUAUAAUUCCUGCCUCAGAAAAAGCUUUUCCAUUACACUGUGAAUGAUACCUGUUUUGUUGUUUCUGAAUUUCCACAUGUUCUGAAGACAAAUUUUUUAUAGCCGCUUAUGGCCAUUUUGUACAAUUUUGAAAUAAAAUUAAACCAUUU
rnacentral:sRNA from 1 species